GGUUUUAGCUGGGUAAAUAAGAAUUUUGAAAAUUCUUUAGAAGUGUUCAAUUCACUUAAAAACUU
rnacentral:tRNA from 1 species